UUUCUUUUGUUUUUAUAGGUUUACAUUCAUAGACUUGAUAGAGUUUAAAAAUGAUUCUCAAUUAGAACUGUCCUGAAUUCACAGGCCAGCAACAAUUGAGAAGGAUUAUAGUUCACAGUGUAGAAGAAUGAAGGUCGGGCCUCUCUGAUGAGAGAGAGUACCCUUGUAUUCAUUAAUGAUCCUUCCGCAGGUUCACCUACGGAAA
rnacentral:misc_RNA from 1 species